rnacentral:rRNA from 1 species
GGGUUGUGAGGUUAAGCGACUAAGCGUACACGGUGGAUGCCCUGGCAGUCAGAGGCGAUGAAGGACGUGCUAAUCUGCGAAAAGCGUCGGUAAGGUGAUAUGAACCGUUAUAACCGGCGAUGUCCGAAUGGGGAAACCCAGUGCAAUUCGUUGCACUAUCGUUAACUGAAUACAUAGGUUAACGAGGCGAACCGGGGGAACUGAAACAUCUAAGUACCCCGAGGAAAAGAAAUCAACCGAGAUUCCCCCAGUAGCGGCGAGCGAACGGGGAGCAGCCCAGAGUCUGAAUCAGCUUGUGUGUUAGUGGAACGGUCUGGAAAGUCCGACGGUACAGGGUGAUAGUCCCGUACACCAAAAUGCACAGGUUGUGAACUCGAAGAGUAGGGCGGGACACGUGGUAUCCUGUCUGAAUAUGGGGGGACCAUCCUCCAAGGCUAAAUACUCCUGACUGACCGAUAGUGAACCAGUACCGUGAGGGAAAGGCGAAAAGAACCCCGGCGAGGGGAGUGAAAAAGAACCUGAAACCGUGUACGUACAAGCAGUGGGAGCACCUUCGGGUGUGACUGCGUACCUUUUGUAUAAUGGGUCAGCGACUUAUAUUCUGUAGCAAGGUUAACCGUAUAGGGGAGCCGCAGGGAAACCGAGUCUUAACUGGGCGUUAAGUUGCAGGGUAUAGACCCGAAACCCGGUGAUCUAGCCAUGGGCAGGUUGAAGGUUGGGUAACACUAACUGGAGGACCGAACCGACUAAUGUUGAAAAAUUAGCGGAUGACUUGUGGCUGGGGGUGAAAGGCCAAUCAAACCGGGAGAUAGCUGGUUCUCCCCGAAAGCUAUUUAGGUAGCGCCUCGUGAACUCAUCUUCGGGGGUAGAGCACUGUUUCGGCUAGGGGGUCAUCCCGACUUACCAACCCGAUGCAAACUACGAAUACCGAAGAAUGUUAUCACGGGAGACACACGGCGGGUGCUAACGUCCGUCGUGAAGAGGGAAACAACCCAGACCGCCAGCUAAGGUCCCAAAGUCAUGGUUAAGUGGGAAACGAUGUGGGAAGGCACAGACAGCCAGGAUGUUGGCUUAGAAGCAGCCAUCAUUUAAAGAAAGCGUAAUAGCUCACUGGUCGAGUCGGCCUGCGCGGAAGAUGUAACGGGGCUAAACCAUGCACCGAAGCUGCGGCAGCGACGCUCAGGCGUUGUUGGGUAGGGGAGCGUUCUGUAAGCCUGCGAAGGUGACCUGUGAGGGUUGCUGGAGGUAUCAGAAGUGCGAAUGCUGACAUAAGUAACGAUAAAGCGGGUGAAAAGCCCGCUCGCCGGAAGACCAAGGGUUCCUGUCCAACGUUAAUCGGGGCAGGGUGAGUCGACCCCUAAGGCGAGGCCGAAAGGCGUAGUCGAUGGGAAACAGGUUAAUAUUCCUGUACUUGGUGUUACUGCGAAGGGGGGACGGAGAAGGCUAUGUUAGCCGGGCGACGGUUGUCCCGGUUUAAGCAUGUAGGCUGGUUAUCCAGGCAAAUCCGGAUAAUCAAGGCUGAGGUGUGAUGACGAGGCACUACGGUGCUGAAGUAACAAAUGCCCUGCUUCCAGGAAAAGCCUCUAAGCAUCAGGUAACAUCAAAUCGUACCCCAAACCGACACAGGUGGUCAGGUAGAGAAUACCAAGGCGCUUGAGAGAACUCGGGUGAAGGAACUAGGCAAAAUGGUGCCGUAACUUCGGGAGAAGGCACGCUGGUGUGUAGGUGAAGUCCCUGCGGAUGGAGCUGAGACCAGUCGAAGAUACCAGCUGGCUGCAACUGUUUAUUAAAAACACAGCACUGUGCAAACACGAAAGUGGACGUAUACGGUGUGACGCCUGCCCGGUGCCGGAAGGUUAAUUGAUGGGGUUAUCCGUAAGGAGAAGCUCUUGAUCGAAGCCCCGGUAAACGGCGGCCGUAACUAUAACGGUCCUAAGGUAGCGAAAUUCCUUGUCGGGUAAGUUCCGACCUGCACGAAUGGCGUAAUGAUGGCCAGGCUGUCUCCACCCGAGACUCAGUGAAAUUGAACUCGCUGUGAAGAUGCAGUGUACCCGCGGCAAGACGGAAAGACCCCGUGAACCUUUACUAUAGCUUGACACUGAACAUUGAGCCUUGAUGUGUAGGAUAGGUGGGAGGCUUUGAAGCGUGGACGCCAGUCUGCGUGGAGCCAACCUUGAAAUACCACCCUUUAAUGUUUGAUGUUCUAACGUGGGCCCCUAAUCGGGGUUGCGGACAGUGUCUGGUGGGUAGUUUGACUGGGGCGGUCUCCUCCCAAAGCGUAACGGAGGAGCACGAAGGUUAGCUAAUCCUGGUCGGACAUCAGGAGGUUAGUGCAAUGGCAUAAGCUAGCUUGACUGCGAGCGUGACGGCGCGAGCAGGUGCGAAAGCAGGUCAUAGUGAUCCGGUGGUUCUGAAUGGAAGGGCCAUCGCUCAACGGAUAAAAGGUACUCCGGGGAUAACAGGCUGAUACCGCCCAAGAGUUCAUAUCGACGGCGGUGUUUGGCACCUCGAUGUCGGCUCAUCACAUCCUGGGGCUGAAGUAGGUCCCAAGGGUAUGGCUGUUCGCCAUUUAAAGUGGUACGCGAGCUGGGUUUAGAACGUCGUGAGACAGUUCGGUCCCUAUCUGCCGUGGGCGCUGGAGAAUUGAGGGGGGCUGCUCCUAGUACGAGAGGACCGGAGUGGACGCAUCACUGGUGUUCGGGUUGUCAUGCCAAUGGCACUGCCCGGUAGCUAAAUGCGGAAGAGAUAAGUGCUGAAAGCAUCUAAGCACGAAACUUGCCCCGAGAUGAGUUCUCCCUGAGACUUUAAGUCUCCUGAAGGAACGUUGAAGACGACGACGUUGAUAGGCCGGGUGUGUAAGCGCAGCGAUGCGUUGAGCUAACCGGUACUAAUGAACCGUGAGGCUUAACCUUACAACGCCGAAG